rnacentral:tRNA from 1 species
GGGCAGAUAGCUCAGUUGGUAGAGCAUCGCACUGAAAAUGCGGGGGUCGCCGGUUCAAGUCCGGCUCUGCCCA